GACAGAGGAUGCAAGCGUUAUCCGGAAUGAUUGGGCGUAAAGCGUCUGUAGGUGGCUUUUUAAGUCCGCCGUCAAAUCCCAGGGCUCAACCCUGGACAGGCGGUGGAAACUACCAAGCUGGAGUACGGUAGGGGUAGAGGGAAUUUCCAGUGGAGCGGUGAAAUGCGUAGAUAUUGGAAAGACCACCAAUGGCGAAGGCACUCUACUGGGCCAUUACUGACACUGAGAGACGAAAGCUAGGGGAGCAAAUGGG
rnacentral:rRNA from 1 species